rnacentral:rRNA from 1 species
AUUGAACGCUGGCGGCAGGCCUAACACAUGCAAGUCGAGCGAGCGGCGGACGGGUGAGUAAUGUCUGGGGAUCUGCCCGAUGGAGGGGGAUAACUACUGGAAACGGUAGCUAAUACCGCAUACUAUCGGAUGAACCCAGAUGGGAUUAGCUAGUAGGUGGGGUAAUGGCUCACCUAGGCGACGAUCCCUAGCUGGUCUGAGAGGAUGAUCAGCUACACUGGGACUGAGACACGGCACAGACGCCGACGGGAGGCAGCAGUGGGGAAUAUUGCAAAAUGGGCGCAAGCCUGAUGCAGCCAUGCCGCGUGUAUGAAGAAGGCCCUCGGGUUGUAAAGCACUUUCAGUCGGGAGGCGUUACCGACAGAAGAAGCACCGGCUAACUCCGUGCCAGCAGCCGCGGUAAUAC